AAAUAUUAAAUGUAUUUUAUAAAUGAAGAAUGCAUGUGUGUAUUUAUUUAUUUAUAUUUUUAUUUUGAGACGGAGUCUUGCUCUUUCGCCCAGGAUGGAGUGCAGUGGCGGGAUCUCCACUCACUGCAGGCUCCGCCUCCGGGGUUCAUGCCAUUAUCCUGCCUCAGCCUCCCGAGUAGCUGGGACUACAGGCGCCUGCCACCAAGCCCGGCUAAUUUUUUUGUAUUUUUAGUAGAGACGGGGUUUCACUGUGUUAGCCAGGAUGAUCUCGAUCUCCUGACCUCCUGAUCCGCCCGCCUCGGCCUCCAAAAGUGCUGGGAUUACAGGCGUG
rnacentral:lncRNA from 1 species